rnacentral:rRNA from 1 species
AACGCUAGCUACAGGCUUAACACAUGCAAGUCGAGGGGAAACGACAUCGAAAGCUUGCUUUUGAUGGGCGUCGACCGGCGCACGGGUGAGUAACGCGUAUCCAACCUGCCCACCACUUGGGGAUAACCUUGCGAAAGUAAGACUAAUACCCAAUGAUAUCUCUAGAAGACAUCUGAAAGAGAUUAAAGAUUUAUCGGUGAUGGAUGGGGAUGCGUCUGAUUAGCUUGUUGGCGGGGUAACGGCCCACCAAGGCGACGAUCAGUAGGGGUUCUGAGAGGAAGGUCCCCCACAUUGGAACUGAGACACGGUCCAAACUCCUACGGGAGGCAGCAGUGAGGAAUAUUGGUCAAUGGGCGAGAGCCUGAACCAGCCAAGUAGCGUGCAGGAUGACGGCCCUAUGGGUUGUAAACUGCUUUUAUAAGGGAAUAAAGUGAGUCUCGUGAGACUUUUUGCAUGUACCUUAUGAAUAAGGACCGGCUAAUUCCGUGCCAGCAGCCGCGGUAAUACGGAAGGUCCGGGCGUUAUCCGGAUUUAUUGGGUUUAAAGGGAGCGUAGGCCGGAGAUUAAGCGUGUUGUGAAAUGUAGACGCUCAACGUCUGCACUGCAGCGCGAACUGGUUUCCCUGAGUACGCGCAAAGUGGGCGGAAUUCGUGGUGUAGCGGUGAAAUGCUUAGAUAUCACGAAGAACUCCGAUUG